AGGACGUUGUUUUUCUGUUCCCUAGCUCUGAGAAGAAAGGACGUUGUUUCUCUGUUCCCUAGCUCUGAGAAGAAAGGACGUUGUUUUUCUGUUCCCUAGCUCAGAGGAAAGGACGUUGUUUUUCUGUUCCCUAGCUCUGAGAAGGACGUUGUUUUUCUGUUCCCUA
rnacentral:lncRNA from 1 species